UUCUCUGUGACAGUGGUGUUGGGAACUGUUCUACUUGCAGGAAUGGAACUUGGAACUCACCACGUGAGAAGAGAUCCCGAAGUGAUGAGGCAGCAUAUUUCCUAUGCUCGAUGUCAGGAUUUGUUCUGUGAAACUGACCUUCACAACGCCCUGAAAAUGAGGAACAUGGUACCAGAGAACAGAGCAGGAAGCAUGAAAUGGUGUUUAGCAUUGUUAGAGCGUCAGGAUUAAGAAACAGCCAAAAACUUACUUAAAUAUGCCACAAAGUGGAGAUUCAAAUGACUGGUUCACUGAAUGUCAUGUGGGGUGGUUGCACACUAUGUAUAGAGAGUUAGGUGCAUCAAAAGAGCAGAACCUGACUGCACAAGGACCUUCUUGAACCACCCAGCAGAGACGAUGAGCCUGGAAAAGGGAUUCGCACAGGUUCUAGAUCCUCUAUUCCAGAUGCCCAACAGCACAGGUGGACAAAGUCCUACCUUUGUGCUUUGGGCGCAUUGGAUCAGCCUCAAGUGCUCACAAAGCUGAAUGAUAAUUGACUGGGCAGACGCCCGCCGAGCUCUCCCAGCUCCCGGCGCUGUGCCACGUGCUCGUGCAGCUUUUUAUUACUUAGGGAAUGCGUUGCAGUAAGAAGAGCUACUGAGCCUCAGAAAAAAAAGGUGCGAUUCAUGUGAACCUGCCUGCUUGGUGUCAUUGAAACACAACAUUUGAGAGAGAACGUUGCUGUUGCUUGCGAGUUGGCAUGGGAAGAGGAGAGAUCCCGACGCAUGGUGGAGCUAGAUGAUGGCGUAUGAGGCGUCCGGCCUCCAACCGGCGGACUCCGUAGCGCAAAGCGCUGGAAAACCUCUCUGUCUCACUCUCAGAAGUUUCUAUAGCAAUCACUGCUGUCGUAGUGAAGCACUGAAAAUGGUGAACCAUUCAGAUUGUAAUUUUGCUGGACAGUAGUCACUCCUCUCUCCGUUGGGCUCUGAAAUUUCACUUUUCGUGAGAUACACAACUGGAGGAGAGCGGUCUUCAGCCCGUGUCUGUAACAAGCCUUGUCCCCCCGCACCCCGAAUGACGGUGUUAGCUGUGUGCAGUGCCUGAAUAUCGGCCAGCAGGACCUGGACCGGGCGCUUGCUCCCUCUGCUCCAGGACAGGCCUUACGUGAGCGAUGUUCUUAACAAGGCGGCAGGAAAGAAACAACCCGCCGACACGUCAUCGUGUGACCUGAACGUCAUCCAUCACUGGAGGUAGAACAAACGAGUUACACAAGUGCGUUUGGCUUUACUAAUUGUCAAAGAACAGAGGAUACAAAGGGAGCUUUCUCUUCGUGUCAGCGAGCUUACUUUCCUUGGUUCAUUUAACUUUAGCUUAAACAAUCACUUGAUCUUUUGUUGCGUGCUUCAUCUUCCGGCGGCUGUGAUCUCUCUUAAUUACCGUGACGUUCAAGAACCGUGCACUAAAAAUAUAUUAAGCAACAGAACUGAAGCGCUUGCUUUCUGCACCGAGAGGAUGUGCCAGAUUUAUACCGUAGCUUCUGAAGGAACUGAUCGACCAUUUCCUAAGCUCUUCUAAUAAUCUUUUCCUACACUUUUAUGGCUAUUGUUGCCCACUGGAAAAAUUAGCGUAAAGCUGAGUAAGGGGAAUUGCGGAUAAGUGUUUGUAAUUUGGCUUUGGACUAACACAGUGUGAUUGCACUGAAAGAAUUUGAAAUCUUUGCACUGGCAGCGGUACUCGAAUCCAGGAAUAUAGGAUUCGCAUUGGAAAAGAGUGGAUUUUUAUAACGAUUUAAAUGAACAAUUUCAGCUAGAGAGUGGAUUAACGGAGCCAACUAAACCCUUCACCCUGACAAAGAACUGGCGGGAGAACUAUAGAAACCCAUCCAAAAUUUUACCAACAUGAAUGCAGAGUAAUAGGUCAGUGAGAAGCAUUUCUGUGUUUUAAUGACGCUCUUAGAAUUCAAUUCAAUUUGAAACAAAAGUUGUUUUACAAAUAUGAGGAGAAUGCAGAAGGCUGGAGAGGGAGUGAGUGGCCCGCAUCCCCCAUCUGCUCUGUCCUCCCUCUGCUCUCACACGACGAGCUGCCACCGCAAGUCCUGCUUCUUAGCAAACAGGAGGGAAAACACAGGCGCUGCUGUAGCCAAAGGGUCAGAAACAUCUCCCACUUUGCAGGGCCAUGGAUGCUCCCGCUGUUCUGCUGCUUCACUGCCUGCACUGAGAGGAGCAGUGCUGUGCUUCACAGCAGAACCUCCAGAAGGAUGUGAUGUUACAGGAGACGAAACACGGGGAGGAUGCAGCCUCCAGCUUCGCGCGCCUUGGUGAAUCUCUAAUGUGCUAUGGAGAAGCUUCCAGAUGAUGUUCAUCACUGGAUACUGGCAGAGUCCUGCCAGCUCCUCCUGUGCUGAAGUGUGCGUGCAGACAGGGAGGUGCAAGAGGAAGCCAUGACCACUUCUCAAUUGAAAUGUUCUGCUUUGCAGCCUGGCCAGUACAGGAUCGCCAGUCUGGCUCAGAGCAGAACCGCAGCAGAGCAGUUUUGCUCUGAGCUGGCCCCAGUGUUCACCCAAGCAGGAUGCUUUGCAAAUCCAUUUUACUAGUUUAAAAAGUAGAGAUCAACCGUUUUGCACAAGCCGUGAUUUCAAGAUGAAGAAUGUUUCCCAACCUAUGUCAACAGACACAUCGGGCUUAUGCUCUUCCUUCUUCAUCACAUGUUCCAAGCUGUGCAAAGCCCAUCACCAACCACAGAACUAAUUGGCUGAUAGUGAAAGCAGCUCUUAAGCAAUAUGUCAACCCCAUACUAGCAGAAGAAAGAGCAUUUUAAUUGUGGUUCGCGCUGAGAUGGAGCACCCAACCCUCAGGCUGCUGGAGAAGAGAGAGAUGUGGAAAAAAGGGUUUCUAAGACAGAAACGAGAGCCCGCCAGGGCCAGGCUGCCGGCAGCAGUAACAGAGGAGGACAAGCCUGAAUCUGUUCAGAACACGUACCAAAAAAUAGUGGGAACAAUAAGGGAAAUGCUUAUAAAAUCUGGAUUUAUUACUUUUUUCUGUAUUACAACAUCACUUAUUUUCAAAUAACAGAAGGAUUUAACAGGGCUCAUUUAUAUAUUAGUCUCAAAAUUAUAUAUUGUAAAAAAUUCUCAGUAUCCAUUAAAAUGAAAAUCCCAACAAAAUUUACAAAGCUGCUGUAGUUCACAAGUACAGGAGCUAAUGUUGUAAUGAAAUGUAAAGACAACCUGUCCUUACAGGUGGAAGAAAAACAACCUGAAUUGCUUAGGGUUUUAAUCACAUCACUCUUCUUUUUUCUUUAAAAUAGUUAUGUUGUACAAAAAAAAAAAAAAAAAAUUACU